UGGAUGAUGAAGCCCUUAAAUAUGAUCGGUGAUAAAGGCCCGUGUUACUGAU
rnacentral:snoRNA from 16 species